rnacentral:rRNA from 1 species
GAGAAUAAUUUAAAGUCUGACCUGCCCAAUGAUUAUUUGAAUGGCUGCGGUAUUUUGACCGUACUAAGGUAGCAUAAUAAUUAGUUUUUUAAUUGAAAGCUGGUAUGAAUGGUUGGACGAGAAAAUAGCUGUCUCAAUUUAAUUUUAAUUAGAAUUUUAUUUUUAAGUUAAAAAGCUUAAAUGAAUUUAAAAGACGAGAAGACCCUAUAGAGUUUUAUAUUUUUUUAUUAUUGUAAAUUUAAAGAAUUUUUUUUUUUAUUAAUAAAGAAAUAUUUUGUUGGGGUGACAAAAAAAUUAAAAAAACUUUUUUUAUUUUAAAAACAUUGAUUUAUGAAUAAGUGAUCCAUUUAUUAUGAUUAAAAGAUUAAAUUACCUUAGGGAUAACAGCGUAAUUUUUUUUAAGAGUUCAUAUCGAAAAAAAAGAUUGCGACCUC